AUACGUAGGGGGCGAGCGUUGUCCGGAAUGAUUGGGCGUAAAGGGCGCGUAGGCGGCCCGGUAAGUCUGGAGUGAAAGUCCUGUUUUUAAGAUGGGAAUUGCUUUGGAUACUGUCGGGCUUGAGUGCAGGAGAGGUAAGUGGAAUUCCCAGUGUAGCGGUGAAAUGCGUAGAGAUUGGGAGGAACACUAGUGGCGAAGGCGACUUACUGGACCGUAACUGACGCUGAGGCGCGAAAGUGUGGGGAGCAAACAGGAUUAGAUACCCUGGUAGUCCACACUGUAAACGAUGAAUGCUAGGUGUUGGGGAACAUGAAGUUCUUCGGUGCCGUCGCUAACGCAUUAAGUAUUCCACCUGGGGAGUACGUUCGCAAGAAUGAAACUCAAAGGAAUUGACGGGG
rnacentral:rRNA from 1 species